UGGGGAAUAUUGGACAAUGGGCGCAAGCCUGAUCCAGCCAUGCCGCGUGAGUGAUGAAGGCCCUAGGGUUGUAAAGCUCUUUUGUGCGGGAAGAUAAUGACGGUACCGCAAGAAUAAGCCCCGGCUAACUUCGUGCCAGCAGCCGCGGUAAUACGAAGGGGGCUAGCGUUGCUCGGAAUCACUGGGCGUAAAGGGUGCGUAGGCGGGUCUUUAAGUCAGGGGUGAAAUCCUGGAGCUCAACUCCAGAACUGCCUUUGAUACUGAGGAUCUUGAGUUCGGGAGAGGUGAGUGGAACUGCGAGUGUAGAGGUGAAAUUCGUAGAUAUUCGCAAGAACACCAGUGGCGAAGGCGGCUCACUGGCCCGAUGCUGACGCUGAGGCACGAAAGCGUGGGGAGCAAACA
rnacentral:rRNA from 1 species